UACCGCGGACAGAGUCUCUCCUGUACGUCCAAGGCAUCACAAUCCAAACAAUGCGUGAGGUUUCAACAAGGAACAGCAUACAACAUAGAUUGCAUAAGGAAGGUAUCAAAAACAUAAAUACUAUUAUGCUAUUACAAGCAUUCAACUCAAACACAUUACAUUUUCAACUUCUCUUAGUAACUUCCAAAUACAAUCCAAAUUAACAUAAUUAUUACAACAGUGAUUCUUUUCUUUUCUUUGACAUUCCUAAGCAGCUGACUCAGGGUACCACUAUCUCUGGUCUCGGUGGUAGGGCAUUAACUACGGAGCUACGCCCUUUCCUCGCGCCACCGUGCUGCUUACGUGUGAACCUGUACCCCCAAAAACAACACGGGGGUGAGAGCUAUUGUCCAUAGUUCCCAGUGGGUACGGCCACCCAAAGGAAAAGCUCGACCCAUCAAGUUCAAAGGAGGCACUGCAAACAUGUUAGUCCGACAAAUAUCCACAGAUAUAUAUAAUUAUGCAACUAACAACUAUCAUGUUUAUGCCUCUCAAUAUGCAACAUGCAAAUUAUGCAACUAUCCAAAUAGAUUAAUUAAUUCUACUCUUUAUGCUUAGCUAUUCUGUCAUGCCCCGGGGUCUCUUUAGGUUAAAAACACAGCGGGAUUUUUUUUUUUUUUUUUUUGAAAACCUAACCCCAGGGAAUGCCAGAUCUGCCACAAAUACAGGAAAUCCACUGUUCACGCGGACAGAAUCUCCCCUGUAUUUGCACGGCGUCGCACAAGUACAAGAAGUAACCCAGGUACAACCACAACCAAAUGAAUAUAGAAAUGACUAUGCAAUCAUUCAUUCACCAUUCACAUCACAGUUAUACAUUCAAUAUUUAAACAUAAAUCCACAGAAAAUCCUUUUGAAAACAUAAAUCCACCAUAUAAACUAGCUAAGCUAUAUCAACAGGAUAGUAGGGGUAGAAGCUAAACCGAAUAACCUGGGUCGAAAGCUCUAUUGACCGCUACGUACGUAUCUCACGUCCCGUCUCAACCCUCACCGCCCGCGAUACCUGAAAAAUAGUGGGGGAGGUGAGAAUAUGUAAACAUGUCUCCCUUCCCAGUAGGUACCGCAUGUCGAUGAAGGCGAUGAGUACUCACCGGAUCAGGAAGAGCUAAACAACAGUACGGGUCAGUAGAAAAUACAAUAGCAAUAAUAAUGAAUGAAAGAGACAUGUGUAUGAAAGAAAGUACAACUACCGCUACUGUAAUGAACAACUGAGUGUAUAUGAAAGAAAGUACAACUACCGCUACUGUAAUGAACAACUGAGUGUAUACAUGUAACAAGACUAUAGUAGCAAGACAAUGUAACAAAAGAACUACAAGUAUGUAUGCAUCAACCACUACUAUAGCUAUAUGCAACAACCAGACAAGUAGUCCAACAGUACCCAAUCUACACCGCCGUGUCGGUCUAAGGACCUUAGGCAAAAGCCACUACCUGCUCGCACUUGGCAUGUAACCCUAACACAAAGAGAACACCGCUGGGCUCACGGGUCGGAUGUACGACCACUUUUCCGGAAAAGAACACCCUCCGCGGUGGAUCAGACCACCGGUGUACGUGAAAUGCACUCGAGCUGUGGCGAUCAAUGCAGAUAUGAUCAAUAGCCAAACGUCGGCAACCAGCCGACAAUCACCGCCCCUCGGGGCAAACCGACCAAUAGGUCAUCAAACUAUAUAGAAGCACAAGAACCGACUACUCAGGUCAACUAAGAGGGAACAACUCAACAUCCUACCAAAGGUAUACAAGCACUGACUACUAAAGUCAACUAACACAUAUGCACGACGAACUGACGAAUAGGUCACCAGAGUAUAUCAAUAGAAUCCCGAAUUACCGUCGGCCACUAGCCGACAAUCCAACCCCUCAGGGUACACCGACCUCAUAGGUCAUCAAACGACAGGACUCACGAAGCUGACUGACUAGGUCACAAAUAUGCCAAAUAGUGGAACUGUGUAAACUAUAAUCAUCCGUCGGUGCUAACCGACAAUCCCACCCCUUAGGGUAUACCGACCUCAAGGGUCAUCGAACGAUGUACGAGAACCGACCAAUCAGGUCACCGAAACGAAGUACGAGAACCGACCAACCAGGUCAACAGAUACGGAAUGCAACAACCAACCAACUAGGUCAACAGAUACGCAUGUAGAUAGAACUACUCUACUCCUACUCAGGAUACUAAGCAUGCAAACAACGAGUAGAGUAUAACGAAUAAACAAGGGUGCAAGGCUCAAUAUACUAUGCGAUAGUAACAACAGAAGAGUAAGGGUAAGAAACCAUCACCAAGCAUGCACCACUGUACCGACGUCGGAUCGAAGUACCCACCUGUAAGGAUGUCGCGUCUGUCUCCUGACUGCAAAAAAAUGUCGACAGGACCUAUAAAGGGUCCACCGGGUUAGUAUCUAACCCACAACUAAUAACCACAGUAUCCACAACCCCACAAAUAAUUUCACGAAGAUCGGUUUCCCAAUACCGAUUACCGUAACUCGCCGGAAGUCCCGAAAACCACACCGGGACGCCGUCGGGACCCACUAAGUGUCCCGAAACUCACCGACUCGUGCCACGAGUCACCUGCUGCACCAGAACACUCUGAUUUGAAUGUUUUGGCAGCAACACAAGAUAACAAUACUACACAAUUAUCAUCGGAUAAUUGUACGAAUCUGGGUUCCCGGAAGUGUCUAUUUCGACACCGGAACCCACCGUCGCUCACCCAUCAUCACCGAACCUACAAAAUGAUGAUGGUAACUAGCCAACAAGGCCCAGCGACCACACACAAGACAACGAAACCACGUCGGAAGAAAUCUGAACCGAAACCGCGUUCUUUCGGCGAAUUUCGCCGAAAAACGCACUGAAAUCGACUCUUCGAUUUCCACAAAAGCUAACGGAUCAUGGACAAUCAGUCCAGAGGUCAAACACACUCAUACACACUGUCCACAGUGGCCCUAGGGUGCACAAUUGCACAAAAGUCCCUCUAAUUACAUAAAACCUAUCAUUUUAUGUAAUUUGAGCGAUCAAGUGGCUCGUUCACGCAAACCGAGGACUUUCAAAGUCCGCAGAGACACGUACUGACAGGUCUCGACGUACCGGAGGCCGUGCUCACGAUCCGGAGCACAACGGCUCGCUGUGGGAAGUGCGGGAGCAACCUGAAGGUUCAGCGAACAGCACGCAGCCACGGAAAAACGCACCAAACAGGGCUAACCAGACACUGCUGAUCCAUGGUAAGGUGAGCACUGUGAUCAGCACUGACCAGCGAUCACCGUGCUCACCUCCAGAGGCAUCGGAAUAGCCUCGGAUCACCGAAAAUGCACGCACAAACACAGCACAACAGCCAAAAAGGCUCCACAGGGUCGACACUGCAAAAACAGCGGCACGGGGCCUUCCCGACAGAAACCAAGGUGAGCACGAUGACCAGCAACUUGCCAAGAUCAUCGUGCUCCCUUCCGUAGAGGUCGGGGAGGCUCGGGAAGGUCGGAACAGUAAACAACCCACAAACAGCCCUAUUUCAGGCUUGGCCGGAGCAAGCUUGCUCCGGCCGGCUUCCGGCGGCACGGCGGCGCGCGCGGUGGCUAGGAUUGGGUGCGGGGAGGGAAGGAACAAGGUGCUCACCUCAGGUGGCGACGAGGAGCGGCGGCGGCGACGGCGGAACCAACCCAGCCCGCACCAGGUUCGGCUCGGGUCCAGGGUGGCAUGAAGCUCUCGGCGACGGCCGGGGCACCUCGGGCCGACGGCGAGGGGUCGCCCGAGGUCGGAGGAUGAGGAGGGAGGCAGCCGGCGCGGGGGUGGAGCUACCAGGUCUGCUCGGCCGAGCAGACCUAGGGCGGCUGCAGGAUGGCCGCAGCGGUGGCAGCGGCCCGCAGGGGCAGCGGCAGUCGGCGAGGAGGGAUGCCGGGGCUCCGGGGAAGACGGCGGGAGCCGUCUCAGGCGGCGGCGGCGCACGGGCUGCUGCUGGAACUUGGCUCGGCCGAGCCUUGUCCCAGGCGGCGGCAAUCGGCCUGGGCGGCAGCGGCGGCGCUAGGCGACGACGGCGGUCGGCGGGGAUGCUCGCCGGAGCACGGGGCGACACCGGCGGAGGGUCUGGAGGUGGCGGCAGUCUCGGGCUUCCUCACAACCCGAGAAAAGAAAGAGAGAGAGAGAGAGAGAGAGAGAGAGAGAGAAAAGAAGGUGGCUCCGGCGGCGGCUGGCCGGCCGGGGCUCAGUCGGCGGCGGCCAGGGGCGUGCGCAGCAGGUGCAGGGAAGAGGGAUGGAGGUAGCAAGGAGCGGCUAGGGCAGCAGGGUUAGGGUUUCCACGGUGAAACCCUAGAACAAGCUUAAAUACCAAGUGCAAUUUGCAAAAAGGUCCACCAAAUCUGAGUAUUUACUACUAAGUCCCUCACAGCGCGUGUAAAACGCGCGAACACCCCUCCACGUGCGAUCUCACGCGAAACGGUACAUAAAAUAUCGCGACUUUUGCGAAAUUACCGUUUUGCCAUUACCGACCAUUCCUCGAUCAACGCGCAAUCUCCGCAGAUCCGUCCGUCAGUUUGUGAACGGAUCGCACCAGUGCGAUCAGCACGACGGAGACAACAAAGCUACCAUUUUGGUUCAUCUCGAUCGGUCGCGGAUUCGCGACGAGAACCGCUCCAACUCUCCAAUAGAGGAAACUACGCACAAAUACAUAUAAAACAUGUAUUUUUGGAUUUUCUCGAAAUCUGUGCGUCAAACUCAAAAUCCGUCAGCGCCAAUAGUUCCAGAAUAGCUGAACCGGUCGAAACGAGCUAUUGGACUGCUAUGAACGGAGUCCGAUACGAGCCUGAAGCCAACUUCACAACAUGGCUUCACCGGAAAAACCAAGUUACUAUUCACUUAAGUGAAAAAUAAAGAUCGCGUAACUCCUCCGUUCUAACUCGUUUUCUCCUGUAACUUGACGAGUGCUUAUGUAAUUAAAUUACACACAUAAACAUCAUCAAUAGAGAGUUUAGUUGCACUGUCAAAAUCUCAGUCCUUACAUAUUCAUUAUUGCUAAUCAUUCUUUUCGUUAUUAGUUAUCCAUUAGCAUUUGCUAUUCUUUAACAUUAGAUGUUCUUUAUUCUUUAAUCUUUAUUCUUUAUUCUUUACUAAGGUAGCGUUUGGUUCGGGAACAACGGGGGGAAUAAGCCCUUGUUCCCCUCUUUGUUCCCAAAUGGUAUGUUUGGUUCCCGAGAACAGUAGUUCCCGGGUUUCUGGAACAAGCUGGUAUAAGGCUGGAACUGUUGUUCCACCCGUUUUCUGGAACUAGCUUGUUCCUUGAUGAGAACAAGGUUAAUUAAAAUCUAAAUUUAAUUUUAAUGGUAGUAAAUUAUUAAUUAAUCUAAUUAAUAUAUUUAAAUUAUUAUUUAUUGCUUUAAUAAUUAAAUAAUUAAUUAAUUAAUUAUUAAUAAUUAGAUAAUUAUUAUAUUAUUAUCAAUUUAUUAUUUAUAAUUAUUUAUUAAUAAUUAAUAAUUAUUAUUAUUAUUUAUUAAUAAUUAUUAUUCUUAAUGAUAAUCAAUAUUAUUAUUAAUUUAUUAUCUAUAAUUAAUUAUUAAUAAUUAAUAAUUAUUAUUAUUAUUUAUUAAUUAAUUUGAUUGAUUCUUAAUGAUAAUCAUAUUAUUAUUGAAUGUAUUAUCUAUAAUUAAUUAUAGGUAUAUUAAUAAUUAUUAUUCUUAAUAAUUAGAUAAUCGAUAUUAUUAUUAAUUUAUUAUUUAUAAUUAAUUAUUAAUAAUUAUUAUUAUUUAUUAAUAAAUAUUAAUAUUAAUUAUUAUUAAUAAUUAGAUAAUCAAUAUUAUUAUUAAUUUAUUAUUUAUAAUUAAUUAAUAAGAAUAAUUAAUAAUUAUUAUUAUUUAUAAUUAAUUAUUAAUAAUUAAUUUAAUAUUUAUUUUUAAAUAAUAAUUUGACAUUAAUUAAUUACAUAAUAAUUUUAAUUUUAAAUUAUAACUCUUAUUCCUCUUGUUCCAAUCUAACCAUCCAAACACUAUUUACCUUAUUCCUAGGAACAACCCAAUUUUCAUCCAAACGUAAAAUUGGUGUAGUUCCUGCUUAUAUCUGAACUUGUAUCUAUCCCUGGAAUUGGCAGUUCUUACUUAUACCCAAACCAAACGCAGCCUAAGGGUACUGUAACAUACCGAACUUCUAUAGUUAUAAAGUUAUAGUGUAUGUUAGCUUGGAAAGCCGUUAGAAUGGUUACGGUGAAGUUCAGGAGCAUUCAGGUGCUUCAGUGCGCGUAGGGCGCGAAAAUGGAGCCCGAAAGGCUAUGUUGGACCAUGGACUAAAUCCAACAAAGGCAUGGAUGAAAAAAUGGUUUAAAUACGCUCGAAAAUAUGUUUUGAGAGUCUCGGUUCCAUUUGAAAUGAAUCGGGGGCUUAAUGAGCGAAAACGAGCGAAAACGGACCAAAAAGCUGAAAAUGCUGAAAAUUUGGAAGUCUGGAAGGUGCAGAAUUUUUGGACCUACGGGGUCCGGUCCCUCAAGCCAAGGACCGGUCCCCGAGACCCGAAAAUGCCCAGAAUGAUUUGAGGCAAUGUGUUAAACAUAGAGGGGUGUGAGGGGUUAUGUGCAAAUGUGUGUACAUGAGUGUAUAGGUGUGAGGGGUGAGGUUUAGCCCUCAUUUCUCUCCCUCCAACCCAACAUGAAACCCUNAUAGAGGGGUGUGAGGGGUUAUGUGCAAAUGUGUGUACAUGAGUGUAUAGGUGUGAGGGGUGAGGUUUAGCCCUCAUUUCUCUCCCUCCAACCCAACAUGAAACCCUUCUUCUCUCUCUAAAUUUCUCUCUCUCUCUCUGUUUGAGGUGCUCCAAUGGUGGAGUUUUGGUGGAGAAGAGAUAGCUUGGUGGAGAUGAAGCCCUCUCAUGGCAACCUUGCUUGGAGGAAAGCUUCAAGUUUAAGAUAAGUACCUUAGGUUUUGAGGGUUUUAUGGUUUUAAUGUUAGAGUUUAGUUAAUCUUUUCUAAUUAUUGUAUUUAGAAGAUGCUAUGGUGGAUUUAGACAUGUAUUUCUAUGUUCUAAGUGGUUAGUUCAUAAAGAUGAAAACCCUAGGGGUUAAAUUUGGAAAUUUUGUAAAGUUGAGAUCUAACUUGAGUUUGAUCUCUUGUUAACCUAAUUGGUAGGUCAACGAACGCGUUGGUGCGCUCCGUUUGGCGAUACGACGAGCAUACGCGAAGAUAUUGAAGAAAGAAGCCGAAUUAGUAUAGAUUGCCGCGGCUCGCGGCGUAGGUGUCUAAAAAUCGUGAAAAUUGAAUCGGGACUUCUUGGCAUUCCUACAAGGUGGGGGGUGCUAUCCGAAAUCUCUGAAUUUUCUUCUAUGUCUGUGUUGCCUUUAUUUAAGCAUAUUGGUAUUGUAACAUUCAUGCAUAUAGGGUAGUUUGACAUGUGAUUGUUGAUUGAGGUUCCUUCAUAUGCUUCUAGGUAGAGAACAUAUAAGUUGACAUUGAACCAUGUGUACCAUGCAUGAAAGAACCCUAUAUGUGUGUGAAUGUAUGAAAGAGACUAUGACAAUAGUAAACAAAGGUGAUAUUGACAUUAGUGGCAUGAUUGGCACCGAGGACAUGUUAUGCUAGAUGAGGUAAAACCUUAAAAGCAUUGUUGAAUGUUAGAUUAUAAUGUUGAUAAACAUUAUAUGCAUUGUGACAUGUUCACUAUCCCAUUAAUGGACAUUAUGGCAAGUGUGGCCCUAGAUAAUGUGAUCUUGUGACAUUAUGAAUUGACGUGCUAAGUAGGGUAAGCCCUUAUGAGCAAUAUGAGAACAAUGGCAAUAGUGGCUAAGUGUACGAUAUGCUAGACGAGGUAAAGACUGUAGCACACUGGACCCUUGCAAAUUGCGAGGUUCGAGUGUUCGAGCUGUGUUCCGAGCCCUUCCAGACUUUCUGGUGGGUUGUUGACAGUGUUCUGACCUAUGGCUCGUAUCCCGAGAAUUGUGGUUUAAAGCUGUGUACCAAAAUUCGAAAAAUCGGAUUUUUGGCCAGCUCUCAGGUAGCUUUCUGGGGUCUUGUACCGGUACAAGGUUGGUGGUUGUACCGGUACAAGGUUUAUGGUUGUACCGGUACAGCCACCGGGCUUGUACCAGUACAGAGCCGAUGAACCCCCCCCAGCCCGAGCCUCGGGUUGAAGUCUUUCGUAGGGCUUGUACCGGUAUAGGGGCCCGUGUACCGGUACAAGGGGGCAUUUUUCGUGCAGUCUGGACUGCAGGAGUGUUUUUGCUUUUGUAGCCUCCUUAUAUCAACACCCACGCCCCUUAGGGCCUUCCCUGAGCUGAGAACACAGGGAGACAAGGUAAGAGGAGCCCCACCUUGCCCCUCUUUGGUUUUGUUAUGAUUUUGUUGGGUUUUAAAAAGAUUAAACUUCUCUUUUUGCUUGUUGGAGGCACUUCCACCAUUGUUGAGGCUUGGAGCUUGGGUUUGGAGCUUGGUGGAGGGAAGAUCCUAGAAGUUUGAGGACUUUGUGCUUAGAUUGAAGCUUCUAAGAGGUAAGUGGCAAGAUCCUUUUCUCUAGUUUUGGAUUUUGGAGUUUUCUUUGAGAUGAAACCCUAGAUUGGAAACUUAGGGUUUGUCACGCCCCGGGGCCGAGCGGAAGCCCGCCCGGCACGUGCCCAGACCCACCAUACGUUUAAAACAUAUAAGACGUCUAAAAACAACAAUAAUAAAAGCAAUAAUAAAAGACAUCUAGGAGUAUCAGAGCAUAAUAAAUGUCUAAAUGCUACAACAAGGGAUAAGGAUAAAACUGUAAAUCCACUAAAUAAAACAUAAAGUGAUACAAAAAAAUCCCAGAUACAAGUGCUAUAGGUAGAUACAUAGGUGGUCUCUAUACAUGGAUACAAAAACCUCUCACUCUCUAAACUACAAAAGAAAGAGUAAACCACCUAGGCAAAGUACCGCUCCUCGCUAGCUAGCUAAGCGAUCCCCUUGCCUGCGAUCCCGUGCCUCGCCGGUGCCGAAGGCUCUGAAAGUAAAAUCCAUAAAAUGGAAGGAGUGAGAACUAUUAAAAUAGUUCCCAGUGGCAAUUACUGACUUUUGAAUGCACCACAAAGGCCCAAAGCUACAAAAGAUGUCAGUAGAUAUAAAUGUAAAAAAGCGAAAGGUAAGUAAAAAUGUAACUUACUACAGCAUGAUAUCUCUACUUAGCAUAAAUGGCAUAAGUAAUGAAGCAACUAUGCAUGAAGUAAAGUCUCCAACUAUCAUAAAUUUCACAAUGCGAAAUAGUAAAGUUCCGUUGUUUACUAUUCUAGUCAAUUCCAAGUAGUACACUAAGUCAUCAUCUGUCCACACGAUUCAUAUGAAUACUCAAAAGUCAACUUUGAAGAGACCCACCCGAAGGCUGUCUAUGGCCCUGAGACCCACCCGUAGGCUGUCUGCCGGUGCCGAGCCUAAUGCCCCGUGGUAGUCAUCAUCCCACCUAGGAAUGAGCCUGUCCCACGGCAAUCCACUUCGGCGCCCAGCAUCUGCACGCGCGAAUAUGAAUCGCGAUGGCUAUCUCGGAGUGCCGGCUUGUAGGAGCGACCCUACAAGCAUGUGCGAUUGAGCACAAUGGCAAGUAGGCAAACGAUCAUGUCGCAAGUACCAAAGUCCUCAUGUUAAUAAUAUGAAUGUGUCAAGUAUCUCAACGGCCUAUCCCUAUGUCAUCAAUGUCUCUAACAUGAAUGUAGGCGAUAAUAGUGGCUAUCAAUAUGUCUCUAUGUUGCAGUUUCAUAAUUUACUAGUUUCAAGUGCCCCUUGAUGACACUCUUAUUCUCUAUGUAGAGCAUGGCAACUAUAUUCCAAGUACAUAUUUCAAAGUCAUAAUCCUCAUAAGUGAUGUAUUUUUCACUUGCAAAUAACACUUUUUCCAUAUGCAUGUAUUCUACUCAUAAGCUCUACUAUAUAGUGAAUUUUCAAAAAUACACAAGACAUGCAUUUUAAGUGCUCUAAAAUUCAUAUAAAUUCCAUUUAGCAUAGAAAUGAAUUUAAAAAUAUUUUACCAACAAGUAGAAAGAGAUAGGGGCCAUUUCGCCCCAUUUCCACGAAGCCAAACCCACCAAUUUUCGAAACUCUUCGUUUUGCCGAACGAAAGUGUCCACUAGCCUCCUAGUACCCUAAGGAUGUAGGAACAAGUGUUACCCAAACAAAACGAAUAACGGAUUGCUCAAUCAUUAACCAUUUUAUGGCUAAGGUUGAAAAAACUCACCGAUUGCGAAGGAAGCUCUCUCAAACCCAAAUGGAGCUAGAGUCCUUCCAAUCAACCUAAACAAAGGUUCUAAAUCCAUCAAUUUGGUUCCAAAGCCUCAAAAUCAAAAAUUUCCAAAUCUAGCCCUAGAAUUCAAAAUCUAGGGUUUCCAAAGAGGAAAACUACCAAAACAUGCUCUAAAGGAGAGAUCAUGAGUACUCACCUCACAAGACGUCCCAAACCAAGCUCCAAGCCAAGUGGAGUUGAAGAUCUCCUCUCAAAUAAGCUCCUCUCCCAGCUCCAAGCCUUCAACAAUGGUGGAAACCCAACAAAAAGCAAGGUGGAGAAGAGAGAAGAGAUCAAAACCAACCAAAAUCCAUAAAAAAAGAGAAGAAAUCAAAUGGGAGAAGUUCUCACCUUAUCUCCUUAGUUCUAGGGCUCAAAAGAGCAGCCAUGGGGGCUGGGGUGACUUAUAUAGGCGUUGCAACAAUUAUAAAAACACCCCCCAACAAAACAGCCAAAAUUUGUACUGCGUACCGGUACACGGGUUUGUGUACCGGUACAUAACCCACGAAAUGGCCAAACCCGAGCCUCGGGUUUGCCUCAAAAUCGUCUGUGUACCGGUACGCGGUCCCGUACCAGUACAGCCAUCAACCCCGUACCGGUACAGCCACUAAGCCCGUACCGGUACACAGCUUGCUGAAGGCUACCCGAGAGCUAACCAAAAAUUCAACUUUUUGGAUUUUGGUACACCGCUUUGAACCACAAUUCUCGGGACUCGAACCAUAGGUCGGAACACUGCCAACGACCCACCAGAAAGUCUGGAAAAGCUCGGAACACAAUUAAUCACUCGAACCCCACAAUUUGCGAGGUCCAAUGCGUUACAUUCACCCCUCCUAAAAAGGAGUUUCGUCUGCGAAACUCAAAAGCACAAGCAUACCUCAAGGCUCCUUCAGAAAAAGAUGGGGAUAGCGCUCCUGCAAAGCGCUCUCCAGCUCCCACGUGGCCUCCCGCUCCCCGUGGUUGCUCCAAAGGACCUUCACAUACGGAAUAUCCCAAUUCCGCAGCUUCUUCACCUCGCGAGCCAAAAUCUUCACUGGUUGCUCCUCGAAGCUCAAAUCCUCGCGGAGCUCCACUGGUACAGCUUCCAAAACAUGAGCUGGAUCAUGAAUGUACCUCCGAAGGACCGAUACAUGAAAGACGUUGUGCACGCCCGAUAGGUUCGGCGGUAGAGCAAGUUGAUGCGCUACCAGACCUACACGCUCCAAGAUCUCAUACGGUCCAAUAAACCUGGGGCUCAGCUUUCCCCGAAUCCCGAAUCUCUUGAUUCCUCUAGUCGGCGAGACCUUCAAGAACACAUGGUCUCCAACUUGGAACUCCAAGUCUCGCCGUCGUCGAUCGGCGUAGCUCCUCUGUCUACUCUGCGCCGUCAAAAGUCGCUCCCGAGCAAUUCGAACCUUGUCCUCAGCUUCCUGGAGCACAUCAGGGCCUAAAGCCAAACUCUCGCCGACUUCACUCCAAUGAAGUGGCGAUCUACACUUCCGUCCAUAAAGUGCUUCGAAGGGCGCCAUCUUGAUGCUUGCUUGAUAACUGUUGUUAUAAGCAAACUCCGCCAUAGGUAGAUGCUGCGACCAUCCUCCCUGGAAGUCUAUCACACAAGCCCGGAGCAUAUCCUCUAAAGUCUGAAUAGUGCGCUCCGACUGUCCAUCACUCUGCGGGUGGAAUGCUGUACUGAAAUCCAAUCGGGUGCCUAAGGCGUCCUGUAGACUCCUCCAAAAGUGAGACACGAAGCGCGUGUCGCGAUCAGAUACAAUCGAUGUAGGCACUCCAUGAAGUCGCACAAUCUCAUCAAGGUACACUUGUGCGAGCUUCUCUCCGGUCCAAGUCGUAUGAAUAGGUAUGAAGUGCGCCGACUUCGUCAACCUAUCCACGAUCACCCAAAUAGCGUCAUGCCCCGCCUGUGAGCGUGGCAAUCCUGUCACAAAGUCCAUGGUGAUCUUCUCCCACUUCCACACGGGAAUAGGCAAACUCUGAAGUUUUCCCGCGGGAACUCGGUGCUCAGCCUUUACUUGUUGGCAAGUUAGACAACGAGCUACAAACUCGCCAACGUCCUUUUUCAUCCCGGGCCACCAAUAGAGCAACUUUAGAUCCUUGUACAUCUUGGUGCCUCCCGGAUGUAUAGCAUACGGCGCUCGGUGCGCUUCUUGAAGAAUAUCUUCUUUAAUCCCCGAAUCCGCGGGUAUACAAAUCCGCCCACGGAAACGCAUCAAUCCCUGAUCGUCCAAAAGGAAGUCGCCGGUGCAACCAUCAACCAUUUUACCUCGAAUCUUUUGCAACUCCACAUCGGAAGCUUGCUUUUCUUUAAUUCUAUCCAAAAGAGUAGGUUGCACUACCAAAGUCAUCAAUCUCAAGGGUGUGUCAGGAGUCACCACCUCCAACUCCAACCGCUUCAUCUGCUCGAUCAACUGCGGUUGAGUCACAACAUGCAUCGCUAAGUUUUCCAUCGAUUUCCUACUUAGCGCAUCCGCCACCACGUUAGCCUUGCCCGGGUGGUAAAGAAUCGUCAGAUCAUAAUCCUUGAGCAGCUCCAACCAUCUGCGCUGUCUCAGGUUCAACUCCUUCUGAGUAAACAGGUACUUUAAGCUCUUGUGAUCCGUGUAUACUUCACACCGUUCGCCAUAAAGAUAGUGGCGCCAUAGCUUCAAUGCGAACACUACGGCCGCCAACUCCAAAUCAUGCGUCGGGUAGUUCUUCUCAUAUUCCUUUAGUUGGCGAGAAGCAUACGCGAUCACCUUGCCAUCCUGCAUCAAUACACAGCCCAAUCCAUUAAGUGAAGCAUCACUAUAAACCACAUACCCUGCUCCAGCUACUGGUAGGGUCAAGAUCGGGGCGGUCGUCAAUCUCUGCUUCAACUCUUGGAAGCUUCGCUCGCACGCGUCAUUCCAAAUGAACUUGACUCCUUUGUGCGUGAGCCUCGUGAGGGGAGUAGACAGUUUAGCAAACCCCUCUACAAAUCUCCGGUAGUAACCGGCCAAUCCAAGGAAGCUCCGUAUCUCCGUGACGCUCGUCGGUCUCGGCCAAUCCUUGAUUGCUUCAAUCUUCUUGGGAUCCACGGCUAUACCCGAUCCCGAAAUCAAGUGUCCAAGGAAAGCUACCUCUCGAAGCCAAAAUUCACAUUUCUUCAACUUGGCAUAAAGCUCCUUUUCCCGAAGUACUUGGAGUACAAUCCUCAAAUGCUCCUCGUGAUCUGCAUCACUUCAAGAGUAGACCAAAAUGUCGUUGAUGAACACCACGAUGAACCUGUCUAGAUAAGGCUUGAAAACACGGUUCAUUAGAUCCAUAAAAGCUGCCGGGGCAUUAGUAAGCCCGAACGGCAUAACUGUGAACUCGUAAUGUCCAUACCGUGUUCUAAAAGCCGUCUUCGAUACAUCAUCGGGUUUGAUCUUUAAUUGGUGGUAUCCCGACUGUAAGUCUAUCUUGGAAUACACACACGAUCCCUGAAGCUGAUCAAACAAGUUGUCGAUCCUCGGCAACGGAUACUUGUUCUUGAUCGUGACCUUAUUGAGUUCACGAUAAUCCACACAAAGGCGAAGUGAUCCGUCCUUCUUCUUGACGAACAAAACUGGUGCUCCCCAAGGUGAAACGCUUGGGCGAAUAAAGCCCUUGUCCAACAAAUCCUGCAGCUGUGCCCUCAGCUCCCUCAGCUCCGCCGGUGCCAUCCUAUAGGGUGCCUGGAGAGUGGGGUAGUCCUAGGGACGAGAUCUACCACAAACUCAAUCUCCCUAUGAGGAGGCAUACCCGGUAGCUCAGCUGGAAACACAUCCUCGAACUCUCGCACGACUGGGAUAUCCUCGAUCCUAGGGGUAUCACCCUCGCCCCUUAACACCACACUAGCCAAAUAGGCUACGCAACCUCUGCUACGAGUUGAUCGUCAUCGCAAACAACGAACUCCGGCAUCCACAAAAUACCACCUCGGUCUGUCCCGGUUCUCUAAAAGUAACCGUGCGAUUCUUACAAUCAAUCGUGGCAUAAUACUUGGUCAACCAAUCCAUGCCCAAGACCACGUCAAAAUCCCCCAGCUUGCGCAAAGCUAGUAAAUCUACAGGCAUAAUCCAAUUUCCUACCCGAACAGGGCAACUGGGGCUAUACUCUCUAAUAUCCAAAACGUGGUCGGGUACAACAACAUGUCCCGUAUGCAACAAAGAAACCAAAGGGAUGCCAUGCAACUCGGCAAACAGCCGAUCUAUGAAUGAAUGCGAUGCACCGGUAUCAAAUAAAGCACGAACUCUAAUGCCAUCAAGUAAAAUGAUACCUGCAACCACAUCCUCGGCUGCUGCCGCCUCCUCGGUCUGAGCGGCGUACAUGCGCCCACUCGGGGCCUGUCGAGAUCCCUCGCUCUGGCGCUGGACGGGUGGCCGCCCAGGCUGGUACUGUGUCGACGGAGUCCCGUGGCUGACGGCUGGUAGAGCCGGUGCCGAUGCAGUCGACGGUGCCGGUGAAGAACCUCUCGGGCACUCGGUACGCACGUGGCCCUCCUGGCCACACUGGAAACACCUGCCCGCCCGCUGUGGACACUGCGGUGGGUAAUGGGGACCACCGCAGAUCACACACGGGGAAGGCCGGCGCCGAUCGGAUCCUCCUCGAUGCGCUGCUGAGCCGCGUCCACGCUGCUGGCUCCUCGGAUGCUUCGGCGGCCUCCUAGAGUGCGUCUGGCUCGCACCCUCAGCCGCAGGCCUCUUGGCCUUACCCUUGUCCCUAGCCUCUCGCUGCUCCUGGACCUCUGCCGCGCCGCUCUCCACGAUGAGCGCGCGAUCCACCACCUCCCGGUAGGUUUGGAGGUUAGAGGAUUGCACAAACCGGAAGAUCGACGGUCGCAACCCUCGCUCGAAGAUGCGGGCCUUGUCCUCGUCAUCCCGCACGACGAAGGGCACGCAAUGCAGAAGCCGAGAAAACUCCCUCUCGUACUCGGCUACAGUCCUGUCACCCUGGCGCAAGCUGCGCAAAUCCUGCUUCAUCUUCCUCUUGACGCUGGUCGGGAAGUAGUGCGCCAAAAGAAGCUCCUUGAACCUCGUCCAAGUGAUAGCUGCCAAAUCUGUGCGGGGGUUCUCCUGGAGAUCCAACCACCAGCGGUAGGCCUCGCCGUCCAAAUGGUGAGUGGCGAGCCAAACUCUGUCCCUCUCCUCCACGAAGGUGUCGCGGAAGAGCUUCUCCAUAUGCAUCAACCAUUUCUCCAUGAUCCAGUGGUCGACCUUCUCGCCAUCGAAGACUCGGGGACUGCACCUCCCGAACUCAUUGAGGCGCUCCAUCAGUCUGUCUCGCUCCGCCCCGUCAACCAAAGUAGGAAAUGCUGCUCCAACCAGGGGCCUCUGCACAGGUGGUGCCACCAAAACCUUCUCCUGGGGUGCGGCCGCAGGCGCCGCACGCGAAAAACUGGGCGCGGGGGACGGCACUCUCGGUGCAACAUCCACAACUCGUGCUAGCGGUGUAGGGGCCUGAGUCUCCCUGGAAGCUGCCGCCUGCUGCAAUAGUAGAUCCUCCAGACGCUUCAUCCGCGCCUCCUGUCGGCGCGCCGCCUCAGUUUGCUGUCGGGCCGCCUCUGCCUGCUGAGUGUGUGACGCCCCGACUUCCCAGGGGGUCACCCAUCCUAGGACUACUCCCGUCCUAGCACGCUUAACUCUCUUAACCUCUUGGGUCUAGCCACCGCCCAAAAUACUUAAGCCGGGUUAAGAGUUUAGCCCUGUUAUAUCUUAUAUAUAGGACUAUCUGGGGUCUCACAAUCUCCCCUCCUUUUAAGCCCUGACGUCCUCGUUGGGCCCAACAACCGGCCCAAAAUGCUUAAGCCCAGUUAUUAUUACUAGUGUCUAAGUCUCUUAUAAACCCAAUCACAUCCCCAUUCCUAUCCGAUGUGGGAUUAUUGGGGUGUGACAAACUCCCCCCGUUAAGGCCCUGACGUCCUCGUCAGUCCAAUCACACACACAGCCCAAGAUCACCAGGCGAUGUGAGACUCGUCUCGCUAGCCCGUCAUCCAGACCCUGGCUCAGCCGAGACUCGCCACACAUGUCCAGCUGGUGAACCGGCUCUGAUACCAAAUGUAACGACUCAGCCCACUAGCAACAAUAACUCGUUGGGCGCAACAACCGGCCCAAAUUGCUUAAGCCCAGUUAUUAUUACUAGUGUCUAAGUCUCUUAUAAACCCAAUCACAUCCCCAUUCCUAUCCGAUGUGGGAUUAUUGGGGUGUGACAGAGUGACCAAGUCGGUGAGGGCCGCCAACUGGCCCCUCAACUCACGGACCUCGCUGGAUCCGGAGGUAGCGAAGGUCUCGACCUCCUCGAAGUUUGCCGCAUUGUCCGCCCCGGCAGAUUGGGAGCGAGUAAUCGGCAUCGUCACUACAACAUCAUAAAAGCGCAAGUUGGAAAUACUCACGCUAUCACAUCCCCGCUCAAAAGACAAACCCCAAAUCAUGCGAAAGUAAAGAAGUGUUCUACACUACUAACUCCCGAUGUUACGUUGUCGGCUGCCAACGUAACGCUCCGCGAAGUUAGAAGUCAAACACUUCGAUUUAACUUCACUUUUUAGAGUUAUCCAAGAUACCCAAUUCAGAUACUUUCGCUUACAAGUCAAAUAGACCUUAUCUCUCGCGAGCCUAUUUCCUAUAGUCCAACCAGCCUAAGGUCUGCUAGGUCCCCUAAGACUCAACCCUAGGCUCUGAUACCAAAUUAAUCUGUCACGCCCCGGGGCCCAGCGGAAGCCCGCCCGGCACGUGCCCAGACCCGCCAUACGUCUAAAACAUAUAAGGCGUCUAAAAACAACAAUAAUAAAAGCAAUAAUAAAAGACAUCUAGGGUGCUGUUUCUGUACCUUUAAGAAGUAUCAGUGGAAAUUUGAGUUCAGCUUAAUUAUAAAUUUUGAACAGUCGUGCGACUAAUAGGCCUUCCUUCAACAUAUGGGCCCAUUAGAUAUGCGUAAGGAUAAACUUAGCUAAUGCCACGAUCCGAACCAUAAAAGUUAAAGGACCGUAAAGUGUAGCUUCUCCCACAUCAGAGCCAAAGGAAGAAAUGGUCCCCAGAUCACAAAGUUGCUACUAGGGGAGGCUUAGAUAUCAUAGCAGUGAUGGUCUCUAUCACGGCAUGCAUUGGAGCUACAACACAAAAACCUGUCUCACUUUCAACUACAAGAAGCUGACAGGUGCUGAAGAGUAAGACACCAGGUAGAAGGACCACCGUCCUCCGCUAGUAGUAAGCGAUUCCCUUGCCGGGCGGAAUUGUGGUCGCUUUAAAUGGGCCAGCAUCCUCCCUGCUGUUAGGCGAGGCAUGCUAAAAGAAGAAACGCAUAAAAUGAGGCAGUGAGAACUUAUUAAAAUAGUCCCGUGGACAAAUUACUGACUUUCAGUGAAUGACACGAAGGCCCAAAGCUACAAAACGAUGAGGUCAGCUGACUAUAUGUUAGAAAAGCGAGAAGGGUAAGUGAAAAAUGUAACUUACUACAACAUGUAUCUCUACUUCAGCAUAAAUGGCUAAGUAUGAAGCAAUGAUGCGCAUGAAGUAAAAGUCCUCCAGAACUAUCAUAAUGUUCACAAUGCGAUAAAUAGUAAAGUAGUCCGUUGUUUACUAUCUAGUCAACUGUCCAAGUAGUACACUAAGUGAAUCAUCUGGAUCCAGCAGUCCGUCAAUAGGUGUAGAUAUCAAAGGUUAACUCUGAGAGACGAGUCAUGUUCGCCGAAAUGGCCGUUUGACGGCAUGGGUUCGAGCGAAUCAGUCGUUUGGACAAGGUGUCUAAUGGCCCUGAAAGUGCGUACCCGUAGGCGUACGCGCGGUGCGAGGCUAAUGGCCCGUGGGUAUGUAUCAUCCCACCCAUAGGAAUGAGCUUCCCACUCAAUCCACUUCCGGCCGCAAUCCCGCACGGCGAAUUGAAUCGUGAUAGCUAUCUCCGAGAGUGCGGAUUGUAGGGCAGCGACCCUCACAAGCUAUGUGCGAAUGAGUACAAUGGCAAGUAGGCAACGAUCUGGCAAGUCACCAAGUCCUCAUGUCUGAAUUAAAUAUGGAAGAUAUCGAUGUGCAUAGGUAUCUCAAACGGGGCCCGUGGUCACUAUCCCAUAUCUCAUCAUGUCCUUAAACAUGAGAAUGUAGCGGAUAAGUUAUGGGCCAUUCGAAUAGUGAUCUCCCUAUGGUUGCAGUUUCAUAGUUUACUAGUUUCCAAGUGCCCCUUGCAUGACACUCGUUGUUUCUCUGAUGUCAGAGCAUGGCAAAAACUAGUUCCAAGUCAUAUUGUCAAGUAUAUUCAUAAGUGAUGUAUUUGUCUCCACGUGUACAAUAUAACACUUUUCCCCAUAUCGGAUGCAUGUUCUCGUAUCUCAUCUGAUGGGUUACGGUACCGCUCUACGUAUUUUUUUAAGUAGAAAAUGUAUACAAAAUACACAGCAUUUGGCGCAUUUUAAGUGCUCUAUUAAGUUCCAGUAUAAAUUUCUAAUUUUUUACGUGCAUAGAAAUCGAAUUGUAAAAAUACUCUCUCUUACAACAAGCUUUGGGAGUAGAUAGAGCAUAGGGGCCAUUUCGCUCCAUUUCACCUGAAGCCAAACCCACAAUAUUUUUCGUAACUCUUCAGUUUGGCCGACAACAAGUGAUCGCACUAGCGCUCUAGCAUACGCCUUUUAAGAAGUGUAGGAACAAGUGUUACCCAACACAAAGACGAAUAAGGCCGCAAACGUAUUGAUCUCAAUCAUUAACCAUUUCGGGCUAGGAGUUCGAAGAAAUCACCGAUUCGCCGGAAGGUAAGCUCGUCUCAAACUCCAAAUGGGAGCUAGAGUCCUUCCAAUCAAACCUAAACAAAGGUUCUAAACCCAUCAAUUUGGUUCCAAAGCCCUCAAAUCGAAAAUCCCCAAAUCUAGCCCUAGAAUUCAAAAUCUAGGGUUUCCAAAGAGGAAAACUACCAAAACAUGCUCUAAAGGAGAGAUCAUGAGUACUCACCUCACAAGACGUCCCAAACCAAGCUCCAAGCCAAGUGGAGUUGAAGAUCUCCUCUCAAACAAGCUCCUCUCCCAGCUCCAAGCCUUCAACAAUGGUGGAAACCCAACAAAAAGUAAGGUGGAGAAGAGAGGAGAGAUCAAAACCAACCAAAAUCCAUAAAAAAAGAGAAGAAAUCAAAGGGGAGAAGUUCUCACCUUAUCUCCUCAGUUCUAGGGCUCAAAAGAGCAGCCAUGGGGGUUGGGGUGACUUAUAUAGGCGUUGCAACAAUUGCAAAAACACCCCCAACAAAACAGCCAAAAUCUGUACUGCGUACCGGUACACGGGUUUGUGUACCGGUACACAACCCACGAAAUGGCCAAACUCGAGCCUCGGGUUUGCCUCAAAAUCGUCUGUGUACCGGUACGUGGUCCCGUACCGGUACAGCCAUCAACCCCGUACCGGUACAACCACCAAGCCCGUACCGGUACACAGCCUGCUGAAGGCUAUCCGAGAGCUGACCAAAAAUCCAACUUUUUGGAUUUUGGUACACUGCUUUAAACCACAAUUCUCGGGACUCGAACCAUAGGUCUGAACAUUGUCAACAACCUACCAGAAAGUCUGGAAGAGCUCGGAACACAAUUAAUCACUAGAACCCCACAAUUUGCGAGGUCCAGUGCGUCACAGGGUUGUUUUUCGGCAUUUUGAACCUAGGGCUUUUGUAGCUAGAUUCUUUGGUUUAGAACCUUCCUUGGGCUUGGAUUGGAAGGGUUCUAGCUCUCUUUUGAAGCUUAGGAGAGGAUUCUUACUCUUGAGGUGAGUUUUGACCCUUUUGCUUUAUAGUUAGUGAUUGAGCUAUUUGCUCUUUGUUUCGUUUGGGUGACCCAAUUUUUAUGUUUCUAGGGUACUAGGAAGCUAGUGGAUACCUCCGUUCGGCGAAACGAAGGUUUCGAUUUUGGUGGGUUUGACCUAGCCUAUAAUAUGAGAAAUUAUCAUAUAUGGCGAUACAUGUUUCGUAAAUUGGAAAAGCAUGCAUGUUAAUACUAAAUGUAUUUAUUAUGAUUUUUAGAAUGCUUAAAAUGCCUAUGUUACAUGCGAUGAAAUUUUGGACCUCUAUGUAAUAGAGAGUUGCAUAUGAAGCAUGCAUGUUUUUUUUUAGCAUUCUUAUGUUGGACCAUAUUUCUUAUAGUGUAAAUGAGUUUUGAUUCAUGCAUUUAAACUUAAGUCUAUUUGAGACAUGAAAGAUAACUAAUAUGCCAUAAAGAGGCACCGAACUUGAAUGUUAUGUGAUUUAGAGAGCUAAUGUCAUCAAGCGGCAUUGAGCUCGGGACAUGGGUGAACCUAGUGGAUAGGGCCAUUGAGGAAUGUGGAACAUGCUUAAAUAUUGAAUGUCCAAGUGUCAUAAAGGGGCACUAGACCUAGAGAACAUUGGAACUUCACUUGUGACUUAGGACUAGAUCUUCGAGAUGCUAGUGACUAUAUCAUGUUAGAGACAUGAUGAUUGGAUACUUGAGACGUUNNNNNNNNNNNNNNNNNNNNNNNNNNNNNNNNNNNNNNNNNNNNNNNNNNNNNNNNNNNNNNNNNNNNNNNNNNNNNNNNNNNNNNNNNNNNNNNNNNNNNNNNNNNNNNNNNNNNNNNNNNNNNNNNNNNNNNNNNNNNNNNNNNNNNNNNNNNNNNNNNNNNNNNNNNNNNNNNNNNNNNNNNNNNNNNNNNNNNNNNNNNNNNNNNNNNNNNNNNNNNNNNNNNNNNNNNNNNNNNNNNNNNNNNNNNNNNNNNNNNNNNNNNNNNNNNNNNNNNNNNNNNNNNNNNNNNNNNNNNNNNNNNNNNNNNNNNNNNNNNNNNNNNNNNNNNNNNNNNNNNNNNNNNNNNNNNNNNNNNNNNNNNNNNNNNNNNNNNNNNNNNNNNNNNNNNNNNNNNNNNNNNNNNNNNNNNNNNNNNNNNNNNNNNNNNNNNNNNNNNNNNNNNNNNNNNNNNNNNNNNNNNNNNNNNNNNNNNNNNNNNNNNNNNNNNNNNNNNNNNNNNNNNNNNNNNNNNNNNNNNNNNNNNNNNNNNNNNNNNNNNNNNNNNNNNNNNNNNNNNNNNNNNNNNNNNNNNNNNNNNNNNNNNNNNNNNNNNNNNNNNNNNNNNNNNNNNNNNNNNNNNNNNNNNNNNNNNNNNNNNNNNNNNNNNNNNNNNNNNNNNNNNNNNNNNNNNNNNNNNNNNNNNNNNNNNNNNNNNNNNNNNNNNNNNNNNNNNNNNNNNNNNNNNNNNNNNNNNNNNNNNNNNNNNNNNNNNNNNNNNNNNNNNNNNNNNNNNNNNNNNNNNNNNNNNNNNNNNNNNNNNNNNNNNNNNNNNNNNNNNNNNNNNNNNNNNNNNNNNNNNNNNNNNNNNNNNNNNNNNNNNNNNNNNNNNNNNNNNNNNNNNNNNNNNNNNNNNNNNNNNNNNNNNNNNNNNNNNNNNNNNNNNNNNNNNNNNNNNNNNNNNNNNNNNNNNNNNNNNNNNNNNNNNNNNNNNNNNNNNNNNNNNNNNNNNNNNNNNNNNNNNNNNNNNNNNNNNNNNNNNNNNNNNNNNNNNNNNNNNNNNNNNNNNNNNNNNNNNNNNNNNNNNNNNNNNNNNNNNNNNNNNNNNNNNNNNNNNNNNNNNNNNNNNNNNNNNNNNNNNNNNNNNNNNNNNNNNNNNNNNNNNNNNNNNNNNNNNNNNNNNNNNNNNNNNNNNNNNNNNNNNNNNNNNNNNNNNNNNNNNNNNNNNNNNNNNNNNNNNNNNNNNNNNNNNNNNNNNNNNNNNNNNNNNNNNNNNNNNNNNNNNNNNNNNNNNNNNNNNNNNNNNNNNNNNNNNNNNNNNNNNNNNNNNNNNNNNNNNNNNNNNNNNNNNNNNNNNNNNNNNNNNNNNNNNNNNNNNNNNNNNNNNNNNNNNNNNNNNNNNNNNNNNNNNNNNNNNNNNNNNNNNNNNNNNNNNNUCCUUCUUCAGUUGUUCCUUUGGUCUCCUAUUCAUGUGUGUUGUAGCAUUUUUCGGCUUUUGUUUGCAAAAUCUCUUCACAUGUCCUACAACACCACAAAGAUGACAGGUUUUGUUAGCAAAUAAAUUCUUGGGAGGAACAAAUUUACCAAAGAUCUUCGGAACCGGUUUUGUCGAAUGUUCGUCUACUUUCUUCAUUGCUUGAUCGACAUAUGUCCGUUCGUAUUCAGGUCCAAGUUUGUUGGUUUGACCAAGUCCUAACAUCUUAUCAAGUUUGCUUGACCCGGACGAAAACUUGUUCAAAUCGGAUUUGAGUUGAAUGAUAGUCUUGGUAAAUUCCAUGUUGGAUUCUCUUGCUUCCGUGUAUUGCUUGUUAAGAAAAUUAAUGUUUUCAACCAAAGUUUCCUUUUCCUUCUCAAGCAGUGCACACUUGUCUAGUAAAGUAUUAUAUGACUCGGUCAAAGUGUCCUUCUCUUGCUCCAAACUUUUUGUCAAUGACUCUAAUCUUGUAUUGUCUUGGUCUAGAUCAUACAGUCUUCGUCUCAACUUUUUGUUGUGUUUCGCCACUUUCUUUGAUUCAAUAACAAGUUGAUGAUAUGCGGCGGCCAUAUCCUCUUCUUCCGAUUCUUCAUCCGUUGAGCUUUCCGUAGAAGAUUUUCCAUGCAAAGAAGACAUAGAAAUUGAAUCAAUAGAUGCUAAACACAUAAAAGUAGAAUCUUGUGCAAUAAGUGCAGUGGCAUUAACAUCAUCAUCACUUGUGGAUGAUUCGUGUGAGGAGGUCUCAUCCCAAGUAAUGGCUUGCAUCGCUUUCUUUUUCAAAGACUUUUUGUUAGGACAAUCUGAUGCAAUAUGACCAAAUCCCCUACACUAAUAGCAUUGUAUUUGACCUUCGCUACUUUUCUUUUCUUUUGUAAAAUCUUUUUGAAAAUUUUUCGAUUUUUUAAACUUUGAAGAAGAGGAGGAAGAGGAACUCCCUUUUGAUUUGUUUGGCUUAGAGGGAGUUGGCUUAGAAGAGAACUUCUUUCUAAAGUUCCGACGAAACUUCUUAGUCAAAAGAGCCAUUUGCUUCUCAAACUCUUCCAAGGUUACGUCUGAGUCCGAGUCCGAUGAAGAAGAUUCCAUAUUGCCUCCUUUCAUUGAUUUUAGUGCCAUACCUGAAGCUUUAGAAGACAACUUGGAAGAAGAUGAGUUAACAGGAAAAGUCAUUUCAUACGUUUGAAGAGCACCAACUAAUUCAUCUACUUUGAGUUCAUCCGGAUGUUUUACCGUUUCUAUGGCCGCAACCUUGGGACGAAAACGUUCGGGAAGGGUUCUCAAAAUUUUUCGAACAAUUUUUGGUUCAGAAAUUUUUUCACCCAAAUUUGCACAAGUAUUGACAAUAUCUUGAAGGCGAGUGUAAUACUCGGUAAAGGUUUCAUUUUCUUCCAUACGAAUAAAAUCAAAACGACUAGUCAACAUUUGUAAUUUCUGAACCUUUACCAAGCUUGUACCCUCAUGAGUGAUUUGUAAGGUAUCCCAAAUUUCUUUGGCGGUUUCACACGCCAAAACUCGAGAAAAUUCAGUUUGAUUAAAAGCAUUGAACAAAGCAUUGAUACCCUUCCCAUUGAACGAAGAUAGUUCGUUUUUCACUUUUGUCCACUUAUUUCUAGGUUUCGGACCGCUAAUAUUCUCGACCACUUCAGUAGGAUGUUUCCACCCGAAUUCAAUGGCUUGCCAAACCCUCUCGUCGAUAGCAAUAAGAAACGCCCUCAUACAGACUUUCCAAUAAGCGUAGUUAGUGCCAUCGAAGAGAGGGGGUCGAUUAAUGUUACCGUCCUCGGCCAUAGAUUACAACCUAUACCCGCUCUGAUACCACUUGUGAGAUAUGGAUCCCGAGGAUCUAAAAGGUGAAAAACACCUAGAGGGGGGUGAAUAGGUGUAAACGGUAAAAAAAAUAAACUCGAUGCGAAUAUAAAGUAAAUGCGGAAAAUAAAAUCAGCACACCGAGAAAUAACGUGGGAAAACUCCAAAUCGGAGAGAAAAAAUCCACGGGACCGAUCACACAAAGAAAUCCACUAAGAAAACAUGAGUACAAGUGAUUUAGCAAAAAUACAAUACUCAAAAUACCGAAUCCUAGUUGUGGAUUAUCUUUGCCAGUCCACGAUCGCUUGGAGUCCUCCAACUGAUCACACUGCAAGUCCUUGCAGCCACACACGCCUCGAUUCCACGAAACGCCCACCGAAUCCACGGUCUCCACGCGAGAUCCACGCGCUAACGCUCCAUCCGAAGCUCGUAGAAAUUCAACAAUUUGUGGUGAUUUAAGAUCUUUGAAAGCACAUAUAAUAUGAGGAGAAACCCAAAUUAAAACAUCACCAAUUUGAUCCUUAACGAAAAUUUGAAUCAAAAUCAAAGAAUCAAAUUGGCGAUCUAAUGCUUGAUGUUUAAAAACAUAGAACAAAACUCCGAAUCAAGCCGUUAGGGUUUCUAAAAAGUUAUCUCACUCAACUCCUCUCAAAUAGAGAUCCUCAUAUUAUAUUUAUAGGUUUAGAAGACUUCUAGAUAGAUUAGGAUUCCAAAAACUCAAUUUUAAAAACUGACGACGGUCUCAGGGUCCGGUCCUUUCGAGCAGACCGGUCCUUGGGAGACCGGUCCUCUAAGGUAAGGUCCGGUCUUUCGCUGCGUAGAUGUAAAAAUAUGCGUACGGGGACCGGUCCUCAAUUCAGAGACCGGUCCUUCCCUGCGCAACAAGGAAAACCAUGUACGGGAACCGGUCCUCAAGAUCAGAGACCGGUCUCCCAAACCUUCUACGCAGAGAAGUUUGAUGGGUCCGGUCCUUCUGAUCAAGGACCGGUCCCCGACCCCUGAGUUUUUUAGAAAACUUAAGUUUAGUCAACUCAAAUAUAAACCAAGUCUUCAAAACAUCUUUUAACAAUAAAAACUUCACCACAAAUUAUUUAUAAUCAUACCUGAGAUCCCAAGGGUCUUUGAACACGAAACCUCAACUCUUUCUUCAAUCUUCAUCUUCUAAUUCUUCGAGACUCCGUUCAAUACUUCACGAAAUUCGCCAACUUAUAAAAUCCUUAACAAUCUCCCCCUUUGGCUAUUUCGUGACAAAAUACAAAAAAAUAUUUACAAUGCUUAUCCAAAAACAAAAAUAAGAAGGUUAUUGCAAUCACCAAACAACAACCUUCUGCAUAAUCGAUCCAAUAAAAACAAAAUUAUAUUUUUCACUAAUACAAACUCUAUGACUUAGGACACGACAUAGAGUCUCGAAGUCUUGAAAUACCCUGCAAAACAAUCUCCACACACUUCAUCAAAAAUUUGCAAUGAAUUCAGUUAUAAGUCAAGAGUUCAAGCAUAGUUGAGUUCAAGUAUAGUUACAUCCUAAUCAAAGUUCAAGCAUAGUUCAUCAAGCACAUAAAGUAAAGUCACAUAAAAUAAAGUAAAGUCACAUAAAAGUAAAGUUGCAUCAUAAGCAUCAUCAUCAUCAUUCUCCCCCUUUUUGUCAAGAAACCACCAAAAUGACCAAAAUGAGAGAACGCCAAAACGAGCUCAGUCGGAAUCAGCACCAGGCGCAGGAAGAUCCGCGCUACAACACCCUAGUUUGUCAAAGAUAGCUCUCAUCAGACGACGAAGCUUGCUCACUUGCCUAGUGAGGCGCUCCUGCUCAGCAACCAUGCGAGCCUGAUCCUCAGAAAUCCGUCGAAGUUCGCCGAAAUCCGUUCUUGCUCUAGAGAUAACCUUUGUUGUUCCUGAUAAACAGAAGAGACAGACAUUUCUUCCUCAGACACCUCUGCCGAAGGACGAGAAGGACCAGGAGGUGGAGUGGAACGCUGUUGAGACGAACGUCGUGGAGGAGAGCGCUGCGACUGAAGCUGCACCGCAGAUUUAAUGAACGUAGUUUCACUAAUCACGCCCAGACUAUGUUCAUAUGACGAACAUCUCGUGUCCACAUCAAACAUCCUCAGAAUCCGCAUUAUGAUUAACAGAUAAGGCAACCUCUCUGACUGACUAGAAGUCUUGAUGUCUUUAGCCAUACGGCGCCAAACCAAAAAUGGAACAUUAAGAUUGAUCUUCCUAUCACGAACCACAUUCGGCUGACCCACCAAAUACAUAUAAAGCAUGCGAUCCCAACGCACCACCUUCGUGUUAGCCAACGGCAUUAUAUUGUAGCAGACCACAAAAUUCAAGAAACGAAACUCUAUCUUUAAUUCCUUCGACAUCACACAAAUGCCAUUUGGUUCAACGUUGGGCAAACAUACACCAUUCAUAACCAGACGCCAAUCUCGAACCGCAUCAAAACCAGCAUGCAAAUAUUCAAUUCCAUCAGUCCGAGCCUGCAUACCAAGAACAGAAGCAAUAGUUUCAGGCGUAAUUGUCAAUUCGAUGCCACGCACAGAGGUCUUAAAAAUGAACGGUCCACCAUCGGAAUCCUCCAGAUAUCCCGCUCUCAUAUAGAACUCCCGAAUUAAUUCCAAACAAUAUCUAGUUUGUUCGGGAAAAUCGCUAAUUUCAUAGAGACCUCCGUUCUCAAACAAGGCUUGAAGACCAGGAACUCGUUCAAUUAAGUUCUGAACUCCAACGUGCCGCUCACCAAUACAAUUCUUCGAAGAGUACAUUGAACGUCUCUUCGGAUCAACGUUGCCUCCCUGAGUACUGCGGCGAGGUACAUCAGCUGUAGGUUCACGAAUUUCAAUACCUCCAGUCUUCUUCUUACUACGAGAAUAUGUCAAUUUUUCCGUUCCUUUCCCUUUGGCUUUGCUCUGUCCUUUCUCCUUUUCUGCAACUACCUUUUCCUUCCCUUUCUUCUUCGUCGACAACACUUCUGGAGAGAAUGCUUCCGAAUCUAUCGACUCAGUUUCUGAUUCUUCAUCAGGAGCAUAUUCACUGCCGACAUCCUCAACUGGUGGCUCGACAGGUUGUUGAGUCGAAGUACGCUGGCGCUUACCACCUCGACCACCACCAGCCAUGAGGAACACAAGAGCAAGCAAAAAGGAAUACAUUUUGUUUUCGAAAAAGAUCCCUGUUUCAACAAGUUAAAAAUAAAACACAGAUAUCAUUCACUUCCCUUUUUUAAAAAAAAAAAACAGAAAACACAGAUGAAACCUAGGGCCAAAAAAAAAAUGCAUCAAGAGAGUGAAGUAAUGCAUGAACAGAUCAAGGAUUAUGAGGAUAUAGUAAAGAUCAGUGUGUAGAAACAAGGAACUGAACAAAAUCACAGAUCAAAUCCCACUAACACAUUCUCGGAACAAAUGUGCAAAAAUAAACUCUAAAAAGAAAACGUACCAAUCAAAGCAAGGAAAAACGGGAAGAAAUAGAGCAAACAUCCUCUGGAACCCUAGGCCGGUCGAGGGAGGAGUUUUAGACAAAAAGGUAAAGUAGGAGAGAGACCGAACCAACAUUCGUAUAUGGGGUCGGGCGGAGGGACCGGUCCUUCAAGACAGGGGACCGGUCCCCGUACCGAAAAAAAAAUUCUUCCCCCCCCUUAUUUAUGUUAAAAAAAAAAUCCAAUGACAUGUAAUAUAAAUUUUAUAAAUAUGGUAAACAAAGUCAAUUUCAAAAAUAUUCAAAGUGUCAAGAUUCGUUGAACAAAUAGACGAAUUAAAUUCUAAAUGGGUAUAAUGCUAAAAUCCACACAUCAAUCAAGAUCUAAAAACUAAUCGUCUCGUAUUGUCUUCAUAAUUGCUAAAUAGAGGAAUAGAAGAUCCCAUAAUCACGAAACUAAGAUAAGAUUAUCAAAUUGAGUUAUGGACAAGAUUCGACGAGGGAGUGGCUCUUUGAGCAUUUUUUCACUAUCAACCUUAUAUCACAUAGGAGAUGUAUUGUAAAUAACUCAUGUUUUAUCAUCUCCAAAGCACCGCUUUUAAACCUCCUUUUUUUUUUUUUUAAUAUAUAUAUCACAGGACAUUGUUGGCUUCUUCAUCAACAGAGAUGCUUUAAACAGACAUGUGGUAGUUGCACACACUGACCGGACGACCGGAGUGGUAGCUCUUUCCUCCAUGUGGUGGUAGUUUUCACACUCCCAUGAGGGAUGUAACUCUUUCCACAUCUUUUGUCAUUCUAAUUUAAUUCCAGGAAAGACUCCCCCUAAAUAAGUGCAACUCUCAAGUUGACGAUAUUAUCUCAAGUUCAAAAAUAGGGAACUCGGUAUACAUAUCAUAGCUCAUAAUUCAACAAGACAAAGACAAUGUUUAAAGUUCAAAGAAAGAGAUGUUGACUUUAGCAAAUUAUACUAAAAUCGAAUUUGAAUGAAUCUAUCUUUUGAACAAAAUAUGACACAGAGAAUAAAAAUGACGUUGAUCAAGCUUAACAUAUUAUAACAUAAUGAAAAUAGUAUCACGGAUAUCUCAAAAAUGAUCAUGUAAGAACGACAUGUAUGCACAAGUUUAUGCAAGAUCUAUGGCCCGUAGACUACCUCUAGAUGGAAUACCAAUAGCCUUUCGCAAAUGUAGAAAGCGUUUUUGAUCUAAAGGUUUUGUCAAAAUAUCAGCAAGCUGAUUUUCAGUAGAAAUAUAUUCAAGAUGAAGAAGAUUUGAUUCGACUAGUUCCCUUAAAAAAUGAUAUCUGAGUUCAAUGUGUUUCGUUCGAGAAUGUAAGACAGGAUUUUUAGAAAUAUUAAUUGCACUUGUGUUAUCACAAAGAAUAGUAAGAGUGGUGGAUGGGAUCCGAUAGUCGCUCAGUAAGCUCUUCAUCCAUAACAACUGAGUAGAGCAACUACCAGCAGAAAUAUACUCAGCCUCGGCAGUGGAUAAUGCAAUACAGUUCUGUUUCUUGCUGUGCCAUGCGACAAGACAGUGUCCAAGGGAGAAACACGCGCCACUAGUACUUUUCCGAUCAUCUGCAGAGCCAGCCCAGUCUGCAUCUGAGUAUCCAAUCAGAUCAAGAGAUGUUCCCAUCAGAUACCAGAGACCAUAAGCAAUUGUACCUUUAACGUAUCGAAUAAUCCUUUUGACCGCUUUUAGAUGAAUUUCCUUAGGAUUAGCUUGAUAGCGAGCACAAAUUCCAACACUGAAGGCAAUAUCUGGUCUACUCGCAGUCAAGUACAACAGACUCCCAAUCAUGCUUCUGUACAGUUUCUCAUCCACGCUCGGUCCUUCUGAAUUCAAUCCAAGUCCUUUAUUACUUGUACCCAUUGGAGUGUCAAAAUCUUUUGCAUUGUCCAAUCCAAAUUUCUUAACCAAAUCUUUCGCAUAUUUGGAUUGACACAAGUGUAUUCCAUCUUUAGUUUGUUUGACUUGAAGUCCAAGAAAAUAGUUAAGCUCCCCCAUCAUUGACAUCUCAAAUUCGCUUGUCAUCAACUUUGCAAAAUCAUUGGCAUCCUUAUCCUUAGUUGCUCCAAAGACGAUGUCGUCAACAUAAAUUUGUGCCACGAUGAAAUUAUCUUUCGAGUGUUUAACAAAAAGAGUUCUAUCCGCUCCCCCUCGGUUGUAGCCCUUUUCCAAAAGAAAUUUUGUCAAACGCUCGUACCAUGCCCGCGGAGCCUGUUUAAGACCAUAAAGUGCCUUUUUCAGACGAAAAACAUGAUUAGGAAAUUUUGAAUCUAUGAAACCUUUUGGUUGUUCAACAUAGACUUCCUCUUUUAGAAAACCAUUUAGAAAAGCACUUUUAACAUCCAUUUGAAAAAGAGUAAUUUUAAAAUGACAGGCGAUCGCAAACAGAAUACGAAUUGAUUCAAGACGAGCAACCGGGGCGAAGGUUUCCUCAAAAUCUAUUCCCUCAACUUGUGAGUAGCCUUGAGCAACUAGUCUUGCUUUAUUUCGAACAAUGGUACCAUCCUCAUUUUUCUUAUUCUUAAAAAUCCACUUGGUACCAAUUAUGUGUUGUUGCUCAGGACGUGGCACCAAUUCCCAGACAUCAUUACGCGUGAAUUGACCAAGUUCGUCUUGCAUAGCAUUAAUCCAGUAUUCAUCGAGAAGAGCUUCAUCAACAUUCUUUGGCUCAACUAGAGAAACGUAGCAAGCAAAUUCACACUGAAGCUGUCUCCGAGUUUUCACACCAGUAAGAGGGUCUCCGAUAACAUUUGACAAUGGAUGAUCUUUCACAGGUGUAAGUUCAGAUGAGGUGAUAGGGGUUUCAGAUGAAUCAUGUGAUGCAACAGUGUCAAUAGUUUCAGCAGAAAUAUCAGGCACAGAAAUUUCAUCAAUCACAGGCAAGUUAAAUGGAGAAUCAUUAUCAUCAUCACUCAUCACAGAAGUAGAAGAACCAUUCACUGAAGAGCUUACAGAAGAAGCUUCAUCUACUUUUAUAUUAAUGGAUUCUAUCACCGUCUUAGUACGUAAAUUGUACGCACGAUAUGCACGACUAGAAGUAGAAUAUCCAAGAAAAAUUCCUUCGUCACUUCGGGAGUCAAAUUUUCCAAGAUUUUCACGAUCCCGAAGGAUAAAACAUUUACUCCCGAAGACACGAAAGUAUUUAAUAUUCGGUUUUCUACCAAUUCACAAUUCAUACAGAGUGUUUAAAGUACCCGGGCGUAAAUAGAUACGGUUAAUCACAUAGACAGCCGUGUUAACUGCUUCAGCCCAGAAGUGUAGUGCAACUUUCUUGCUAUGAAGCAUAACACGGCCAUCUCUUGAACAACCCGAUUUUUAUGUUCAACCACUCCGUUCUGUUGUGGUGUAUAGGGAGCAGAGAAUUCAUGUUUGAUGCCUUUUGAAACACAGAAAUCAACAAAUUUUGAAUUUAUGAAUUCUCCCCCUUGAUCACUUCGAAUGCGUACAAUUUUAUCAUUCAUUUCAUUCAUAAGACGAAAAAAGAUUUCAGAAAAAGAAUCAAAGGUAUCAGCUUUUUUACGUAAGAAAGCACUCCAGACAAAACGAGUAAAAUCAUCAACAAUAAGCAGAAUGUAUCGUUUUCCACCCAAACUUUGAAUCCUAGAAGGUCCCAUUAAGUCCAUGUGUAGUAGCUCUAAUGGUUUAGAUGUCCCUAAAUGGUUCAAAUUUUUAUGUGUGGCUCUACUUUGUUUUCCCAGUUGGCAACCCCGACACACAGUGUUCUCCUUGAAGUCUAUCUUAGGUACACCUCGAACAACCUCCUUCUUAGUUAUCUUAGAUAGUUCCUUAAAGUUCAUGUGACCUAGACGUUCAUGCCAUAAAGUUUCAGUUUCUAAUAUUGCUAGGUUACAAUGUUCAGUUGAAGAGCUAGGAACUACAUAGCAGUUAUUCUCAGAUCUUACACAUUUUAAGAAGGUGUCAUCAUUACGAGUCACAGUGCAUUCUUUGUCAGAAAAUUUAACGGAGUACCCGUCAUCACACAACUGACUUAUGCUCACGAGAUUUGAUUUGAGCCCCUCAACAUAAAAGACAUCAUUCAAAGUAGGACCAUCUGAGAUAGUGACAGUUCCUUUUCCAACAAUUUUUUAUGACCGACCAUCUCCAAAAACAACAAGUCCACCGGAGAUUUUGUUUAAAGAAGAAAACCAAUUUUUAUCACCGGUCAUAUGACGUGAACAUCCACUAUCCAGAUACCAAGAAGUAUUGUCGUAAGCAUGAAGCGAAGUGUGAAUGACAAGGCACGGAAAGAGUUCACCUUUGCGCACCCAAACCUUAUGCGUUUUGGGUUGCGUUGUCCGACUUGAUUGAGUCACGCUUUGCUUGUCGACGAUUUGUGUAGUUCUUUUCUUUGAAUCAUUCUUCUUAGGCAUCCACGUUUGUCUUGCCUUUGUCUUUGGAUCCUCCUUCUUCAGUUGUUCCUUUGGUCUCCUAUUCAUGUGUGUUGCAGCAUUUUUCGGCUUUUGUUUGCAAAAUCUCUUCACAUGUCCUACAACACCACAAAGAUGACAGGUUUUGUUAGCAAAUAAAUUCUUGGGAGGAACAAAUUUACCAAAGAUCUUCGGAACCGGUUUUGUCGAAUGUUCGUCUACUUUCUUCAUUGCUUGAUCGACAUAUGUCCGUUCGUAUUCAGGUCCAAGUUUGUUGGUUUGACCAAGUCCUAACAUCUUAUCAAGUUUGCUUGACCCGGACGAGAACUUGUUCAAAUCGGAUUUGAGUUGAAUGAUAGUCUUGGUAAAUUCCAUGUUGGAUUCUCUUGCUUCCGUGUAUUGCUUGUUAAGAAAAUUAAUGUUUUNGCUAACCCGGGGGUUUCGCCACAUUAACUUGCUUCACAUUAAGUCCAUCAUCGCAGGAACUCACCAGCUAGGACCGUCCUUCGGGUUUACUCCAACCCGUGAUGCAUAACUCCGGAGCGCAUCGCCCGAGGGGGAGCGACCGCCCUCGAGCACGGAACUCAUAGCAAGUAUGAUCAUAUCCUUAACUCAAAGGAUUAUAAGUUCAAUCUUGACUUUACACUAGCUCAAGUGUUCUUUACAUCACUUUAUGUUGCAAACUCAUGCAAUCACAUUCUUCACAUUUUCAUUACUCUUGCUAGCUCUAGCAUUCUUGUUCGUUACAAUCUUUGCUCUUAUUGCCCCACUUUACUUUAACUUUACACGUUGUCAUUUUCAUCAUUCUUUUCAUCACUUUAGUUCUUUACAUCACACUAACUCUAGUGUCAUUUCACAUUAGCUUUGCCGAAUGCCACUCGAUCUAUGUCAUUGUGUCACUCUAUUCUUUUGCUCACUUUGGGUGCUCACAUUUCUCUCAUGCAUACACAUAGGAUUUUCGACAUCACAUAGGUCUCAUUCGUCAUAUUAUGCAAGUUGUACUCACAAUCAUGCAUCAUUACAUUUUCAUCAUACUUUACCCUAAAAUGCAUGCAACAAAUAUGUAACAUAUGCUCAAAUGAAUGACACAUUAGGCAUAGAGAGAAGUUCAAUGAGUUUGAGAAGCACCACCCACCUCGUAGGCUUUCAAGGGUGCUCCGAUAAUUUUCUUGGGAUUUUUAGUCGCCCGGUUCACUACCUGCGGCAAAACGAAGCCCUAUUAGGCCAUUUUGCUCAUAUCUUUACUUUGGCUUUUCGUAACGUUAAUCCGAGCGCACCAACGCGUCGGAAAUACCCCCAAUUAGAUUUUUGAAGGGUCAAUUUCACUUAGAAAUCCCCAUGAGCAAAAGCCCCAAUUUGGGUGCCCUAGCUCCAUUGCAUGUGUAAACCUAGGGUUUGAUCUCAUUGGGAAGCAAAAGUAGCUUCAUUACACUCUAAAUAGUCUAUUAGAACCAUCCCUAGCUCACUCCAAACCCUAGUUUGGAUUUCACCAUGAGAGGUGAUGAAGCUCACCUGAAGCUUCACCAUUUUCAUGGUCUUGAUCUCAAAAGAAGCAAAAAGAAAGCUUCAAAUACUCCAAAGGUUCUAUAAAAACCAUCUUCAUUCUAAUCCAAACCCUAGUUUGGAAUUAAACAUGAGAAGGGGCAAGGCUUACCUUCAAGCUUGAGUAUUCUAUAGUGUCACCUAAAUAGCUUGGCGUAAUCAUGGUCAUAGCUGUUUCCUGUGUGAAAUUGUUAUCCGCUNAUCUUUAGACAAAUCAAAACCCUACUUAGGGUUUCACCAUGAGAGGUGAUGAAGCUCACCUCAAGCAUCACCAUUUCUAUGGUCUUGAUCUCAAGAGAAGUAAAAGAAAAGCUUCAAAUACUCAAAUGGUUCCAUAAAACCCAUUUUAAGCUUAAUCCAAACCCUAGAUUAGGUUCUACCAUGAUUAGGGUUCAAAGCUUACCUUGUAAGCCCUUCUUUUCCAAGCUAGAGAUGAGGGAGAGGGAGUCUCUUCACUUCCUCUUCUUCUUCUCCUUUUUCUUCUCCUUCUUUUCCUUCCUUUCCUUGUUUUCUUCUUCUCCUUUGUCUUCUAGAGAGAGAGAGGGAGAGAAGAGAGUGUUUGGGAGGGUGAGAAUGAGAGGAAAAGCCCCUCAACCCUAGUUUGGAAUUAAACAUGAAAAGGGGCAAGGCUUACCUUCAAGCUUGCUCCUUUCUUGCUCUACAGAGGAAGAAGAUGAAGCCUCUUUGCUCCUUGCUCCUUGAUCUCCUACUUCACUUUCUUCUCCUUCUUCUCCUUCCUUUCUUCCUUUCUUCUUCUUCUCCUUUAUCUUCCAGAGAGAGAGAGGGAGAGAAGAGAGUGUGAGAGGGUGAGGAAAUGAGAGAAAUAUCUCAUUUGCCCUCAUACAUAGCUAUUGGGUUGCAAAAUUGCAGCUAAACCCCUCAGCUUUUAUCUCUGUGCACUGCCUGGACUGGGCAGUUUUCGCAGGCAGAGACCGGUCUCCCCGAGCAGGGACCGGUUCCCGAAGGUCCACCCUGCGCAGCCAGAGCUGCUGCGCGCAAUGCGACCAGUCUCUCCCUGGUGGGACCGGUCUCUGGGGGACCGGUCUCUCAAGCAGAGACCGGUUCCCGAGAGCUGAUCUUCCAGGACUUAGCCGAUUUUUCGGCUGUCUUAUUCUUCACGCGUUCGGGGACCGGUCUCUCCCACCAGGGACCGGUCCCCGAGAGCUGAAAGUCUGCAGUUUGCAGAAUUUGAUUCUUUAGCUCUCGAAAACCUCCCGUAGCUCACCUUUAAUCAUUUUAACACCUUCGGAUUUUCCGAAGUGUACCAUCCUCGCACUUUGGUCAAUUUGACUAAAGUUCGAUAUUUAUUUUCUGAAUUUUCGGUAUAUUACAAUAGAGCUGAGGUCAGUAAUUGCCCACUGGGAACUAUAAUUUAUAGUUCUCACGCCCUCUUUUUCUCAAUGUUUUUCAGAGCCUUCCGCGCAUGGGGAGGCCAGGGAUCGCGGAAAGGGUAUCGCCUCGGGCUAGUGCUCUUCGCCGAGGGAUCGUUCGAUAGGUGGCCCACCUCUCUUUGUUUCUUUUUGUGAGAGGUUGAGAAUUGUACCAGUGUACUAGAGACCACCCGUUUGUACUUUGAGACAGAUAUUGUACUGCUUUAUGGUUCACUUUUAUUGUUUAGUUGUUUCUUUUACUAUUGUUAGAGAAGAUAGAAUCAUACUGCUCUGAUAUCAUUAGUUGUGGUUCUUUCCUUUUGCUAUAUUUCUUUCUUUUACUUCCGCUUCUAUUCUAGGCGCCUUAUAUGUGUAGGCAUAUGGCGGGUCUGGGCGCGCUACCGGGAAGGCCUCCGCCGGUCCCGGGGCGUGACAAAGACCCUUCUAUGCAUUGUGACCAGUGUGGCUUAGUAAAGUGACAUACAUGAUUAGGUAAAGAUCUAUCAUUGGUAUUGUGGCAUCAUGGUUUGGUGGCUCGGAUAUAGUGGUAUAUAUAUGCAUGAUUAGGUAAAGACCUAUCAUUGGCAUUGAGGUAUUGUGAUAUGAGAUAGGUUUGGCUAUACUUCCUCAAAUUGAAGAUAGAAUCGUACUCACAUGUAUUGGUUCCGGCUUGUGAGAGGUCGCUUCUCCACAAGCGGUGUACUCCAGAGUGUAGACACCACGGGUAGGAGUGCCUGGCAAAGAUCCUUCGGGCGAUAGUGCCAUGUGCCUUCCCUGGUAGACGGAUGAAUCCCUCGGGGGCAUUUUCAAAUGCUAAUCCCAAUAGAUGGGACAUUUGAGAUGUCAGGUUGGGGUAAGCCUUGUGGACCCCGGGAUAAUAGGGUAAAAGCCAAGUGAAAGGAGAACAAGAACAUGCAUGCAUUAUCAUACUUAUGAUCAUAUAUCUGUUGACUCAGUUUCUUGCAGGCAUUGUAAUAGUAUUGCAUUAGUUGGUUUGCUAUCUAUUAUUUCUUAAAUUACAUAUGCCUGAAUAGACCUAGUGGGCGAGUCGGCGAGGUCGGCGGCCGAACCCACUGGGAACUUUGUUGUAGUUCUCAUCCGACUAACCAUGCAGGUUCUAGCGCGAGCGGGACGAUCGUGGCUCGUGGUAUGGUUAUCGUGCUCUAGGUAGCGUACUACCAUUGUGUAUAGAGGCACCCUUUGUAUAUUUCAUCUAUUAUGUUGAUGAAUGGAAAUGUAAUAAAAUCAUGUGAGAAAUGAAAAUGUAUUAAGUUCAUUUGAGUGAUGAAAUUGUAAAUUGAGAUGAAUGAAUGUAAAGAAAUUGUAUGAGCUUUGUAUUUGAUUGAAAGUGAUUAAGAUACAAUGUAUGAAUGUAAUAGUUAGAUUGCUUUCACUUGUGGUUGAUGUUGCUUACCCUAGAGUAAGCCAUGUAUACUUACAUUCUUAUGUUUGAAUUGCUAUCGUUAUACAUGUAUUGGUGGAGCCUUGGGCAGGCAGGGGAGGUGCUGUCCGUUCGGCGUCUGUUGGCGUGCCCGAACCGACCAAAUUGGCGGUCCCGGGGCGUGACAGGUACUCCCACCUUAGCCAUAUUAUACACAUUUGCCAUUCUCUCCUGAGGUUACUUUACCUUAGCCAACUAUGCCACUCGACUCGGUCUUGAGUCAAGCAUGUGCGGAUAAUCCGCGCUCUGUCCGGCUCGAGGUGAAGGAACUCUCACAUACACCUCAACCUUCAAUUUACAAACCACAUCGCCCAACGGGUCGCCCAGAGCUACGUACACCCGUGGUUAGGGAUCUUCCCGGUGGGAGGGGAAUAUGCCACAUGCAUCCGCGGCCCAAGACCCUCGAUAGGGAGGGGAAUAUGCCACACGCACCCUAGCGCUCCAAGAUCCUUCUGGUGGGAGGGGAAUAUGCCACACACACCCGCGGCCCAGAAUCUUGCUCAAUCAGAAUCCUCGAAGUUCUUCCGGUGGGAGGGGAAUAUGCCACACGCACCCGCGGCCAAGAACUGUCGGGCUCAUACGCUGCACUAGCAGCCGCUGCACUCGCAGCCGCUGCACUCGCAGCCGGGAUUUCGGAAUCCACUUUCAUAACUCUAGGGUUGGUCUCACCCUAUAUUAUCAACCUAUCUAGCUCCAAGCCUUUACUCAACCUAAGUUCAAUUCAUUAGGUUCAAUACCACUAUACUCAUAGCCUAGGUUCAUUAACGCUAGGUUCCAUGUUCUUACUACCUAGGUUCAUUUGACUCUAGGUUCAAUGUCACUGUAUUCAUAACCUAGGUUUACUUGACUCUAGGUUCAAUACCACUCAUGUUCUUUUUUUCCUAGUUGUCCACACUUAGGAAUCAUACUUGACAUGCCACUCAUGAAUCACCUAUAUUCAUUGACACUAGGUUUCAUCGCCACUCAUGAUACUUGUUAUCUUAAUUAUCCACACUUAGGAUUCUUUACAUGUCACCCUUGUCGAGUUCUUUAUUAUUCUUAAGAGCUCAUCGACUCAAGUUUAACAUUCAUGUCAUUCUAGCAUAUUCUCAUAAUAUGUCAUCAUGCAUAUAUUCUUUAGUAUCUCAUACACAUGCCUAUGUUCUUAUUGAAAUGGUAGUCAACAUGUCUCAUGCAUUCUUUGGUAUACAUCUUAUGCAUUCAUCAUAAUCUAUCAUAUGCAUUCAUUAUCACCUAUCUUAGGCAUUCAUUAGCAUAUAACUCAUGCAUUCAUUUACUUUGCAAUUGGCUACCAUUACAUGUAUCAAUGACUAAAUACACUACACUUUGGCAUGGAAGCGACCUAAUCGCUUCGGUGAGCACAACCCACCUCAAAUCACUUUUCGAUUGCUUGUAGUCACUUGCAAUCGGCCUUCCGCGGCACCCGUUGCCCGGUUCGGCCCGAACUCGCACUCGACCAUGAAACGGCCACCAAUCCAUGAUCCGAGAAUUAAAGGUCUAUAACUUGAUGCCACGAUGCUCCGGAUCCGUUCUCGUGAUUUUUGGAUGUCGCCUCGGCCCUCCAGUCGGAAACGAAGACAAAACGUUCGUUUCUUUAAUAUCUUCGCGUAGGCUCGACGAAUCGCCGAAACGUCUUUGCUAACGUGUCGGAAAUACCUUUAAUUAGGUUUACAUAGGAUCAAUUUACAUUUAAACCCUUCUAUGACAAAAGCCCCAAUUUUGGUGCCUUAACAAUGUCAUUUUGCCCAACACUUGGUUUGAUCUCUUUGCUAAGCAAGAACAAGCUUAGAAUCAUCUAGAAACUUAUCUAGAACCAUUACUAGGCCAUUCAAACCAUUACUAGGGCAUUUAGAACAAAUCCUAGAAAUCCACCAUGAGGGCAUAUGAAGAAAACAUGAUUUUCAUGUGUUCUAUGGCCUCAACAAGGUUUCUACUCUUGUAAAAAGAUCAAAUUCAAAAGAUUUUGGGUGUAAAACCAAACCCUAAUAUCAAUCUUACAAGAAACCUCAUCUUAGCCACAAGCUCUCUAAUGUUCACCUUGUAGGAGAGUCCCCAAGCCUUUAAAACCCUAGAUCCUCCAAGAUUUCUCCUCCAAAUCCACCUCCUUUAGCUUUGGGAGAGAGAUUCUAGAGAGAGAGAGGAAGAAAAAUGUGUUGGAGGGGGUAUUUGGCUGUGGGAGAGAGAGAGAGAGGGUGUUUGGGGCGUUUUAUAAGAUGCUACAAUUGCAUUUAGACCCUCAUCUUUUUCAUAUUUGCAGCAGUUUUCAUUUUGCUGUCAGACCCAAUGUGUACCGGUGCACAUCAGGGGUGUUGUAACGCACUGGACCUUUGCAAAUUGCGAGGUUCGAGUGAUUGGUCGUGCUCUGAGCCUUUCCAGAUUUCUGGUAGGUCGUUGACCGUGUUCCGACCUAUGGCACAUGUCCCGAGGAGUGUGGUACGAAGCCUUGCACCAAAACCCAAAAAUUUGGAUUUUGGUCAGCUCUCGGAUUGGCUGUCUGGCGGGCUUGUACCGGUANGUACUAGAGACCACCGUUGUUGUACUUUUGAGAUAGAUAUUGUACUACUUAUGGCUUCUUUUAUUGUCUAGCUUUAUUUCUUUACUUGGUGUAGACGAUAGAUCUGUACUUGCUCUGAUAUCAUUAGUUGCUAGUUAUUUCAUUUCCUAUAUUUGUUCUAUCUCUUGCUUUUACUUCCGCUUUUGUUGUUUACGCCUUAUAUGUGCAGACAUAUGGCGGGUCUGGACACGCUACCGGGAGGGCCUCCGCCGGUCCCGGGGCGUGACAGGUGUCACCGGUUACACGAUCGCGCUACAACCAAACCCGAGAGUUGCUAUUUCGGGUUUUACACUGUGUACCGGUACACUUUUAGUCUGUCACCAGUACACAGCCUUUUUAGGACUUAGCCAAUUUUUUUCAACUUUUCUCCGUUUUCGCUCGUUAGGCCUCUGAUUCAUCUUAAAUCGCACCGAAACCCCCAAAACAUAUUUUCGAGCGUGUCUCAACCAUCUUUUCAUCCCCGCUUAUGCCGGAUUUAACCCAUGGUCCAACAUGGCCUUUCGGGUUCCGUUUUCGCGCCAAACACGCACCGAAACACCCGAAUUCUCCCGAGCCUCAAUCUCGCAUUGUUUCGACUCCAAUUCACGCCGAGCAAUGCUAAAACCUUUCCAACUCCCUUGAACUCAACUUUAACCCUUCCAACAUUGUUGGAAUGUUAAAUAGGCUUUGUCCAACUAUUCCUUUCGCACACUUUAGUCAAUUUGACUAAAGUUCGAUAUUCUCUACCGAGUUUCUGUAUGUUACAUUCUCCACCCCUUAACAAGAGUUUCGUCCUCGAAACUCAACUCACACCUCAAUUCAGCUCCUCAAGCAAUUGAGGGCACUAAUGCACUUUCCCACUCCGGAAUGGUCUCACGUUCAUAGGAACAAUUCAAAGGUUCACAAUGGAGGAUACGAAACCAAAAGCAUACACUUUGCAAGGUGCAUCUCACAAAGUGCAUUAUGGUCUCCGUCCUUCUUGGUGGCAGCGCAAGUCGAAACUCGAUGACUCUACGUGCUCCAACAGCACUCGCCAAUCGGCACACAAAGAUUUUAUCCUUGCAUUUGCUUUCCCUUUGGCGAAUACAUUCCAAUUCCAAUCCUCGAACUCCAAGUGGCUUGUUACUAGCUCAAGGCCUCACCAAGAGCACUUUAUCUUCUAAUGCCAUAUGCCACGGUCAAUCUCAUAUCACUCUCGCAACGAGCACACACGAAUGCUUCGUUCGUGAAUUUGAGCGAAACCUCUCGAUAAGGCUAUCCACCAAAUCGCUUUCCUCAGUUUCCAUAGCUGGACCAAAGGUCACCAAUAGUACGUAGGCCUACCGCCUAAAUCUAUCUCAACGUACGCGCAGCGCCUCUCGCUCGCCAGCGUAGACCCAAUCAUCAUUGGGGCGAAAUUCUUACUUGGGAAUUCGCACACACUCCAACCAGGAGCAAUUCAAGACCUCAAACCAUUAUAGAUCCUCGGGUUGGGUCACAACUGAACUCUUGGUAUACAAUCGAUCGCACGACACGCUCUAUCGAGCACACGUAUCAUUACCGGCUCCUAUGCACCUAGCGCGAGUCACAAGUCCUACGAGUGAUCCAUGACACGCUUCACACCUAGUAAUGCUCAAGUGCUACUGCCAACACUCACGCGGCGGAACUAAAUCCGCACUCCACGAGUAAUUAUACUCGAGCGUCACACGCCUCUAUAGUGCUCCAAUUUCCUUUACUUGCCGCAGGCCAACUCUGCUGUCCAUAGCACUGGGUACCGAUACGCAUCAGGGGUGUCACUGGUACUCCGUUGCACAGAGACCAAACUCGAGAGCAACCUAUUCUCGAGUUGCUGCCUGGUACCGGUACAAUCCAAUGCUUAACCGGUUAACAAUGCUCCAGACUUCGAUUUCGCAUUGUUUCGCUUCGAUCAAUGCUAAAACCCUUUAAUCUCUUUUAGAACUCAACUUUAACCCUUCCAACAUCGUUGGAAUGUCAUAUGGACUUUGCCCAUAGGUCACCACUAGCAACUCACUAGUGCCAUCUAGUCUCCACCUGCUCCAGCAGGUGCUCCGCUUUCACAACGCAAGCAUGCCCGGGUAUUUACACUUAUCCAUCCACUUGGUCCCUACUAUACUAAGGUGUAAGUAGUAGCAAAUGACCAUAUGCUCAAUGCAUGCAAUGCACCAACUUUACAUCAUGCAGAAACACAUGACUACAUCAAUUAAAUCAUACCUGCCAUGACGUCGUCAGUAGCAGCAGGUCCGACAUCCUGGGUCGCGUGUCCAUGGCCACUUGGCGCCCACUGCGAACCCCUUGGUUGCAUCACCACCAUCGCUCGCUCUCCCGACCGUGCCGCAGGUGGCAUACCCGCAGGCUGUCCCGAGGAGGAAAAGGCGGUCGCCAGCGUCAAAGCCUGGCUAUCACCUUGCGGACACUCAUCCCACAUAUAGCCUGGUUGCCCACAACGAACACACUUUCCAUCAUGCAGCGCACAUCGCCGCGCCCUGUGGGAACCACCACAAAUCACGCAGCUUGGAGAGGAUCGAGUAGAUGACGACUUCGGGUGUCGCCUGGAACUUGAUUGUCCACCUGGAUUGCUCGAUAAUGGCCUCACUCCACCCCGCUCGUGUUCAUAAGACUCGUGCUCCUCACGCACGAAAGCCUCACCGUGCUCUGCCCAUAACGCUCGGUCCAACAUCUCCGCGUAGGUCGUGAGUUUGAAGAUUUGCACCUUCUCGUAAAUAUCCGGUUGAAGUCCACGCAGAAACCAAUCGGCCAUUGUCAUCCCGUACCACAUCAGGGACACAAUUCACGAUACGGGAGAAUUCCCGUUCGUACUCCCUCACAGAGCGGUCUCAUUGCCACAGCUUCCUGAACCUGUUCUGAAGCUUUCUCUUUUCACUGUCGGAAAAGUAAGUAGAAAAUACCAAUCCCUGAAACUCAUCCCAUGCCAUAGGAGGGAGACUAGGCGAUCGAUCCCGUCGAAUGCCCUUCCACCACACCCUCGCCGAUUGCUUCAAGCAAUGCACGGCUAGGGGCACCUUGUCCCGCUCCAAUGUGUACAGCUCCUCGAAGAGCGUUUUCAUGGAGUCAAUCGACAUCUCUACGAUCCACGGAUCGACAUUCUCUCCAUCGAAGAUAGGUGGAUCAAACUUCUUGAAGGUCAUGAGGGCCGCCAAAGCCCGCUCAUUCUCCGCCUCCACCAAUGCACUUUUGGGAGUCGGAUCGCCCGACCCCGACGGAAACAUCUCCGCCGCAAUUCCCUGCCGUCCUCGACGAGCCGCAACUGGUGCGGUCACCAGCUGAUCUACCAUUUCCUGGAGUCUCUUAAUUCGCUCCUCCUGGCGCAUAGCAGCCUCUUGCUGUCGCUGCACCACAUCGGCUUGUUGCCUCACCACUCCCACGAGUGUGGCCAAUUGAUUGCGAAGUUCCAAGUCUCCGCUCGCCUCAGAUUGCUCAGGGACAUCACUUAUCCCAUCCCGCGCCGAUCUAGCUGAAGAUCACCUAUGCGGUGCCAUCGUUCCCUGAAACACGACAACUCGAUUAAUCCUCAACCUUCUUAGGUCGAGCACAAAACAAUCAACUUCGACUCAAAUCGGACGAAAGUCAUACAAGAGCGUCUAUUCUCAUCACUCGGUUUCAUGUUGUACAUGCCCAACAUGAACACCCUCGGUUGAGAAUACACCACACCUUGAGUCUAACUGUAAUAUCCGUCUUAGAGGUUUACAACACAACCCAAUCCAUAACCUUUCGCCAUAAGUCUCAAGUCCUCGUCUCUCACGAGCCUUAAUCUCCUAUGGUUUACUAUCCUAGGGUCUCCUAGGUCCAACUAAACCGUUUUUUUUAUAUUCUUUUAUGUUCGUUCUAUUCUCCCUUUAUGCUCUGAUACCAUCUUAUCUGUCAUGCCCCGAGCCCGCCUCUUUGGCUGGUUCGGGCACGCCGACAGACCGCCGAACGGACAGGAUUUUUCCUGUACUGCGGACAAAGUCCCCCAUGUAUGUCCAAGGCGUCACAAUCCAAACAAUGCGCGAGGUUCCAAUCAGGAACAGCAUACAACACAGGUUGCAUAAGAAAAGUAUCGAAAACAUAAAUACUAUUAUGCUAUUACAAGCAUUCAACUCAAAUACAUUUUACAUUACACAUUACAUUUUCAACUUCUCUUAGUAACUUCCAAAUACAAUCCAAUUUAACAUAAUUAUUACAAUAAUGAUUCUUUUCUUUUCUUUGACAUCCC
rnacentral:lncRNA from 1 species